UUAAGCAUAUCAAUAAGCGGAGGAAAAGAAACCAACAGGGAUUGCCCUAGUAACGGCGAGUGAAGCGGCAACAGCUCAAAUUUGAAAUCUGGCGUCUUCGGCGUCCGAGUUGUAAUUUGCAGAGGGCGCUUUGGCAUUGGCAGCGGUCCAAGUUCCUUGGAACAGGACGUCACAGAGGGUGAGAAUCCCGUACGUGGUCGCUAGCCUUUACCGUGUAAAGCCCCUUCGACGAGUCGAGUUGUUUGGGAAUGCAGCUCUAAAUGGGAGGUAAAUUUCUUCUAAAGCUAAAUACUGGCCAGAGACCGAUAGCGCACAAGUAGAGUGAUCGAAAGAUGAAAAGCACUUUGGAAAGAGAGUUAAAAAGCACGUGAAAUUGUUGAAAGGGAAGCGCUUGCAGCCAGACUUGCCUGUAGUUGCUCAUCCGGGUUUCUACCCGGUGCACUCUUCUAUAGGCAGGCCAGCAUCAGUUUGGGCGGUUGGAUAAAGGUCUCUGUCAUGUACCUCCUUUCGGGGAGAACUUAUAGGGGAGACGACAUGCAACCAGCCCGGACUGAGGUCCGCGCAUCUGCUAGGAUGCUGGCGUAAUGGCUGUAAGCGGCCCGUCUUGAAACACGGACCAAGGAGUCUAACAUCUAUGCGAGUGUUUGGGUGUCAAGCCCGAACGCGUAAUGAAAGUGAACGGAGGUGGGAACCUUUCGGGGUGCACCAUCGACCGAUCCUGAUGUCUUCGGAUGGAUUUGAGUAAGAGCAUAGCUGUUGGGACCCGAAAGAUGGUGAACUAUGCUUGAAUAGGGUGAAGCCAGAGGAAACUCUGGUGGAGGCUCGCAGCGGUUCUGACGUGCAAAUCGAUCGUCAAAUUUGGGCAUAGGGCGAAAGACUAAUCGAACUAUCUAGUAGCUGGUUUCCUGCCGAAGUCCCCCUUCAGGAAA
rnacentral:rRNA from 1 species